rnacentral:tRNA from 3 species
GUAGAUAUAGUUUAACUUAAAACAUUAGAUUGUGGUUCUAAAAACAGAGGUUAAAUCCCUCUUAUCCACC